rnacentral:rRNA from 1 species
UGGGGGAUUUUGCACAAUGGGCGCAAGCCUGAUGCAGCGACGCCGCGUGAGGGAUGAAGGCCUUCGGGUUGUAAACCUCUUUCGCUGGGUUGAAAGGCCAUGCUUUGGGUGUGGUUGAUUUGAACUGGUAAAGAAGUACCGGCUAACUACGUGCCAGCAGCCGCGGUAAUACGUAGGGUACUAGCGUUGUCCGGAUUUAUUGGGCGUAAAGGGCUUGUAGGUGGUUUGUCGCGUCUGUCGUGAAAUCCUGUGGCUUAACCAUGGGCUUGCGGUGGGUACGGGCAGGCUUGAGUGCGGUAGGGGAGACUGGAAUUCCGGGUGUAGCGGUGGAAUGCGCAGAUAUCAGGAGGAACACCGGUGGCGAAGGCGGGUCUCUGGGCCGUUACUGACACUGAGGAGCGAAAGCGUGGGGAGCGAACAGG